GGGGGUGUAGCUCAAUUGGGAGAGCGCUUGAAUGGCAUUCAAGAGGUAGCGAGUUCGAUCCUCGCCAUCUCCACCA
rnacentral:tRNA from 1 species